rnacentral:rRNA from 1 species
UACGUAGGGGGCAAGCGUUGUCCAGGAAUCAUUGGGCGUAAAGCGGCGCGUAGGCGGCCCGGUAAGUCCGCUCUGAAAGUCCAGGGCUCAACCCUCGGAAAGCGGGUGGAUACUGCCGGGCUAGAAUCCGGAAGAGGCGAGUGGAAUUCCUGGUGUAGCGGUGGAAUGCGCAGAUAUCAGGAGGAACACCAAUAGCGAAGGCAGCUCGCUGGGACGGUAUUGACGCUAAGGCGCGAAAGCGUGGGGAGCAAACAGGGAUUAAGAAACCC